rnacentral:tRNA from 1 species
GCCCGAGUGGCGGAACUGGCAGACGCGCAGGACUCAAAAUCCUGUGCCGGCAACGGCGUGAGAGUUCGAUUCUCUCCUCGGGCA